rnacentral:rRNA from 1 species
UCGAGCGGUAAGGCCUUUCGGGGUACACGAGCGGCGAACGGGUGAGUAACACGUGGGUGAUCUGCCCUGCACUUCGGGAUAAGCCUGGGAAACUGGGUCUAAUACCGGAUAUGACCUCCUAUCGCAUGGUGGGUGGUGGAAAGAUUUAUCGGUGCAGGAUGGGCCCGCGGCCUAUCAGCUUGUUGGUGGGGUAAUGGCCUACCAAGGCGACGACGGGUAGCCGACCUGAGAGGGUGACCGGCCACACUGGGACUGAGACACGGCCCAGACUCCUACGGGAGGCGGCAGUGGGGAAUAUUGCCGAGUGGGCGAAAGCCUGAUGCAGCGACGCCGCGUGAGGGAUGACGGCCUUCGGGUUGUGAGCCUCUUUCGAGCAGGGACGAAGCGCAAGUGACGGUACCUGCAGAAGAAGCACCGGCUAACUACGUGCCAGCAGCCGCGGUAAUACGUACCGGGUGCAAGCGUUGUCCGGAAUUACUGGGCGUAAAGAGCUCGUAGGCGGUUUGUCGCGUCGUUUGUGAAAACCAGCACCUCAACUGCUGGCUUGCAGGCGAUACGGGCAGACUUGAGUACUGCAGGGGAGACUGGAAUUCCUGGUGUAGCGGUGAAAUGCGCAGAUAUCAAGAGGAACACCGGUGGCGAAGGCGGGUCUCUGGGCAGCAACUGACGCUGAGGGAACGAAAGCCUGGGUAGCGAACAGGAUUAGAUACCCUGCUAGUCCACGCCGUAAACGGUGGGCGCUAGGUGUGGGUUCCUUCCACGGAAUCCGUGCCGUAACUAACGCAUUAAGCGCCCCGCCUGGAGCGAUACGGCCGCGAGGGUAAACUC